GGGGGAAUCUAAUUUCCCAAACUGGGAUUAGAUACCCCACUAUGCUUAGCCCUAAACAUAGAUAAUUUUACAACAAAAUAAUUCGCCAGAGGACUACUAGCAAUAGCUUAAAACUCAAAGGACUUGGCGGUGCUUUAUAUCCCUCUAGAGGAGCCUGUUCUAUAAUCGAUAAACCCCGAUAAACCUCA
rnacentral:rRNA from 1 species